AUUGAACGCUGGCGGCAUGCCUUACACAUGCAAGUCGAACGGUAACAGGUCUUCGGAUGCUGACGAGUGGCGAACGGGUGAGUAAUACAUCGGAACGUGCCUAGUAGUGGGGGAUAACUACUCGAAAGAGUGGCUAAUACCGCACGAGAUCUACGGAUGAAAGCAGGGGAUCGCAAGACCUUGUGCUACUAGAGCGGCCGAUGGCAGAUUAGGUAGUUGGUGGGAUAAAAGCUUACCAAGCCGACGAUCUGUAGCUGGUCUGAGAGGACGAUCAGCCACACUGGGACUGAGACACGGCCCAGACUCCUACGGGAGGCAGCAGUGGGAAUUUUGGACAAUGGGCGCAAGCCUGAUCCAGCAAUGCCGCGUGCAGGAUGAAGGCCUUCGGGUUGUAAACUGCUUUUGUACGGAACGAAAAGCCCUGGGUUAAUACCCUGGGGUCAUGACGGUACCGUAAGAAUAAGCACCGGCUAACUACGUGCCAGCAGCCGCCGUAACAC
rnacentral:rRNA from 1 species